GCACAGCUGCAGGACGGAGCAUGAGACCCAGCACGUGCAACAGCUGCAAGAAAUCCUGCCUGCCUGUCUGCAUAGAAAAGCACACAAUCAGCCCGAAAGGAACACGUUGGCCAUAGACGACACCUGGAAAAACUGCACAGCGGAUGCGUGGUGGAGACUGUGAGCCUGCAGUGCCCAGCCAAGGGGGAACAGGAGAGCAGUGGGUGCCAUGGGAGGAGAGCUACAGGAGCAGAAGGAGCUCACAGAGGCAGAGUGCAGUAACGCCACAGCAAUCAGGAAUGAGCUUUGCUGCUGCACUGAGAGCUGUGCCUGGUGGAACAUCAGGGAUGUGAGCGUUUCUCGCACACCCCACUGGCACUUGGGUGGAUGUGCUGGGAUGUAGGGAAGCCUCACAGGGUUGUGGGGCAGCUAAAGGACGCCUAUGGGAGGGCUUCAGGAGAACUUUGAGGCAGCUUUGGAGCAGAGCCACACCUGGAAGCUGCCUUUACCCAACACACUGCUACUGGUGGAACUGCUGCUGGCCACGGGCUGUGGGCAGUGAUGGGGCUACUCGGGGCUGCUCUACGAUGGCUCUGGGGCUGCCAUGGGCAGCUAUGGGAUACACUCAUGGAACUUCUUCCAUAGUUCCCAACUAACCCCUUGACCUCCAUCUUGCCCCCCAAGAUGAGGGCAAGAUGAGCGUCAGGGGAAUAUACAGGCUGCUGAAAUACAGCGGCCCCAGAGCCACCUUAUAUUACCCCCUGAACAAUGCAGGAACAGACCUAUCCCUGCCCACAGCCUCAUAUGGGGUUAUGGUGCUCACAGGGUUAUGGGACAUGUGCAGCCUUGUGGUCACGUGGACUUUCUGGGGUUCUGGGCUCAUGUGGGGUUAUGGAUCAGGGCUUCAACAUUAGACCGAAAAGAACCCCAAUCCCCUCUCAGGAAGAAAUCAAUGAAUGCACUCCAACACCACUCCACAUCCCCCAUUCUGACCCCAAACCGCUCCCCACGAGCCCCCAAACCCCCCACGUACCCAUGCCACGUCAUGUCUCUGCACCCACAAGUCCCACCUGUACCUCACACCUCGCCUUCUCCUGUGAAGCACUCUGCUCCUGUAGGCUGUGGUCCACAUCCCCUUAUCCUCCCCAAAUCCACCCAUGUUCUGAUCUGUACUCCCCACGUACCCAUGCCACCCCACGUCCCCGCACCCACAAGUCCCACCUGUAACUCACACCUUGCCUCCUCCUGAGAAGCACUCUGCUCCUGUAGGCUGUGGUCCACAUCCCCUUAUCCUCCCCAAAUCCUCCCAUGU
rnacentral:lncRNA from 1 species